rnacentral:rRNA from 1 species
GACGAACGCUGGCGGCAUGCCUAAUACAUGCAAGUCGAACGAACCAAACCAUUGAUUGGAGCUUGCUCCUUGAUUUGGACCUUGGUGAGUGGCGGACGGGUGAGUAACACGUGGGUAACCUGCCCAAAAGUGGGGGAUAACAUCUGGAAACAGGUGCUAAUACCGCAUAACAACUACUUUCACAUGAUCGUAGCUUGAAAGAUGGCUCUGCUAUCGCUUUUGGAUGGACCCGCGGCGUAUUAGCUAGUUGGUGAGGUAACGGCUCACCAAGGCAAUGAUACGUAGCCGACCUGAGAGGGUAAUCGGCCACAUUGGGACUGAGACACGGCCCAAACUCCUACGGGAGGCAGCAGUAGGGAAUCUUCCACAAUGGGCGAAAGCCUGACGGAGCAAUGCCGCGUGAGUGAAGAAGGUUUUCGGAUCGUAAAACUCUGUUGUUGAAGAAGAACAUGCGUGAGAGUGACUGUUCACGUACUGACGGUAUUCAACCAGAAAGCCACGGCUAACUACGUGCCAGCAGCCGCGGUAAUACGUAGGUGGCAAGCGUUGUCCGGAUUUAUUGGGCGUAAAGAGAAUGUAGGCGGUUUAUUAAGUUUGAAGUGAAAGCCCUCGGCUCAACCGAGGAAGUGCUUCGAAAACUAGUAAACUUGAGUGCAGAAGAGGAAAGUGGAACUCCAUGUGUAGCGGUGGAAUGCGUAGAUAUAUGGAAGAACACCAGUGGCGAAGCGGCUUUCUGGUCUGUAACUGACGCUGAGAUUCGAAAGCAUGGGUAGCAAACAGGAUUAGAUACCCUGGUAGUCCAUGCCGUAAACGAUGAGUGCUAAGUGUUGGAGGGUUUCCGCCCUUCAGUGCUGCAGCUAACGCAUUAAGCACUCCGCCUGGGGAGUACGAUCGCAAGAUUGAAACUCAAAGGAAUUGACGGGGGCCCGCACAAGCGGUGGAGCAUGUGGUUUAAUUCGAAGCAACGCGAAGAACCUUACCAGGUCUUGACAUACCAUGAAAAGCUUAGAGAUAAGUCUUUCCCUUCGGGGACAUGGAUACAGGUGGUGCAUGGUUGUCGUCAGCUCGUGUCGUGAGAUGUUGGGUUAAGUCCCGCAACGAGCGCAACCCUUAUUAUCAGUUGCCAGCAUUUAGUUGGGCACUCUGGUGAGACUGCCGGUGACAAACCGGAGGAAGGUGGGGACGACGUCGAAUCAUCAUGCCCCUUAUGACCUGGGCUACACACGUGCUACAAUGGUCGGUACAACGUGCUGCGAACUCGCGAGGGUAAGCAAAUCACUUAAAACCGAUCUCAGUUCGGAUUGUAGGCUGCAACUCGCCUACAUGAAGCUGGAAUCGCUAGUAAUCGCGGAUCAGCAUGCCGCGGUGAAUACGUUCCCGGGCCUUGUACACACCGCCCGUCACACCAUGAGAGUUCGUAACACCCAAAGCCGGUGGGGUAACCCUUCGGGGAGCUAGCCGUCUAAGGUGGGACAAAUGAUUAGGGUG